CGGCGAACGGGUGAGUAACACGUGGGCAACCUGCCCAAAAGAGGGGGAUAACACUUGGAAACAGGUGCUAAUACCGCAUAACCAUAGUUACCGCAUGGUAGCUAUGUAAAAGGUGGCUAUGCUACCGCUUUUGGAUGGGCCCGCGGCGCAUUAGCUAGUUGGUGGGGUAAAGGCUUACCAAGGCAAUGAUGCGUAGCCGAACUGAGAGGUUGAUCGGCCACAUUGGGACUGAGACACGGCCCAAACUCCUACGGGAGGCAGCAG
rnacentral:rRNA from 1 species